GGGCGACAUCAGGAGUUGGGCCGCGGCCCGACGCCAACCUGCCUUUCCGGGCAAGGUGGCGCUCCCGCAAGGGAGGAUGUGGCCGUUCCGGCAACCAAGCGGAUCAUG
rnacentral:ncRNA from 2 species